GGUAAGCUGGGGGCUUUUGUCUUUGCCGCCCAGAGCAGCACUGAUCAGACCCAAAGCUCAGCUUCUUAGUCUCAUUUUUCUACCUUUCCUGUAAUUUGCCAUGUGCUGCUGUGGCUCACAGGAGACCAGGACUCACUGUAGAGGUUCUGGUAACGUCCCCUUCUCCUGUCCCCUACAUUUGGCUCCCAAUGUGGAUGUGAAUUGGAUCCACGGGUGAACUCGCCUGUGAGACAAACUCGGAGUAAAAGAGACAGCACACGGAUCUCCCAGGACGCUUUCGAGACUCAGAGGAGGGACUCUGGUGAUAAUGGGAAAACCUUGUGGCUGCCCUCCCGGAACGUGAGACCAUGGGUCACGCUGGUGGAACUGCCAACAUCUCGCAGAAUGAGUGAUAGCACCCUGGCUGAAAGCGAUGAGCCAGCUGCACCUCAGGGACCCACCUCACCAGCGACAA
rnacentral:lncRNA from 1 species